UGUUUAUGCUCAUCAUCACAUCAACAUACCGGACCGACAUCAACCAUGCCAGCAUCAAACUAAUUUCCCGUUGGGGAAAUCAAGUCGAGCAGCCACCCUGGCGACGCCCCGGUACUCACUCUCCAAUCUCUUAUCGGCCGACGCCAACUAGAGCCGUGAGUGAUAAAGCGAGGCGCGAUCGGUCAGGCAAUAUAGCCGAUCGUCGCCCGCGGAUCAUCAUCAGUCACUGGUUUAUCGUAAAGGAGACCGCGUCGAUCGUCAACCCGAUAUAUUUUCCGCCAGACGAUCGACCUGAAGAAGAAGUUUAGUUCGAGGAAUUUCUGUGGUGAAAACCGUCUCACCAGUGAGGAAGAACAAGGCGUGGAAUAAUAACCGCACUGGAGUGCGAGGUGCCGCGACACCGUAAAUUGGUCGUGGUGGAGAGUGAGGUGGCGUCUACGAUCAGCAUGGAAAGCAUGGCCAUGCUGGAGUAGAUAGGAGUACUUGAGAUCGGCCUUCAUUUCCUGUUUCACAAGCUGAAUUC